AGUGAACGCCGGCGGUAGGCCUAACACAUGCAAGUCGAACGGCAGCACAGUAAGAGCUUGCUCUUACGGGUGGCGAGUGGCGGACGGGUGAGGAAUACAGCGGAAUCUACUUUUUCGUGGGGGAUAACGUAGGGAAACUUACGCUAAUACCGCAUACGACCUACGGGUGAAAGCAGGGGAUCUUCGGACCUUGCGCGAUUGAAUGAGCCGAGGUCGGAUUAGCUAGUUGGCGGGGUAAAGGCCCACCAAGGCGACGAUCCGUAGCUGGUCUGAGAGGGUGGUCAGCCACACGGGAACUGAGACACGGUCCAGACUCCUACGGGAGGCAGCAGUGGGGAAUAUUGGACAAUGGGCGCAAGCCUGAUCCAGCCAUACCGCGUGGGUGAAGAAGGCCUUCGGGUUGUAAAGCCCUUUUGUUGGGAAAGAAAAGCAGCAGGUUAAUACCCCGCUGUUCUGACGGUACCCAAAGAAUAAGCACCGGCUAACUUCGUG
rnacentral:rRNA from 1 species